GACGAACGCUGGCGGCGUGCUUAACACAUGCAAGUCGAGCGGCGCGGCGAACGGGUGAGUAACGCGUGAGUAACUGCCCCCCUCCCUGGGAUAACAGUUGGAAACGGCUGCUAAUACCGGAUAGUGGGGGAUGACUCGCGUCCCAUCAGCUUGUUGGUCGGGUAAUGGCCUACCAAGGCGACGACGGGUAGCCGGCAUGGGAGGGCGACCGGCCAAAGUGGGCUGGGAUACGGCCCAAACUCCUACGGGACGCAGCAGUGGGGAAUAUUGCACAAUGGGGGAACCCCGGAUGCAGCAACGCGCGUCCGGGAUGACGGCCUGCGGGUUGUAAACCGCUGUCAGCGAUGACGCGGUAGUGGAAGAAGAAGCACCGGCUAACUACGUGCCAGCAGCCGCGGUAAUAC
rnacentral:rRNA from 1 species